rnacentral:rRNA from 1 species
UUGAAGAGUUUGAUCAUGGCUCAGAUUGAACGCUGGCGGCAGGCCUAACACAUGCAAGUCGAGCGGUAGCACAGAGAGCUUGCUCUCGGGUGACGAGCGGCGGACGGGUGAGUAAUGUCUGGGAAACUGCCUGAUGGAGGGGGAUAACUACUGGAAACGGUAGCUAAUACCGCAUAACGUCGCAAGACCAAAGUGGGGGACCUUCGGGCCUCAUGCCAUCAGAUGUGCCCAGAUGGGAUUAGCUAGUAGGUGGGGUAACGGCUCACCUAGGCGACGAUCCCUAGCUGGUCUGAGAGGAUGACCAGCCACACUGGAACUGAGACACGGUCCAGACUCCUACGGGAGGCAGCAGUGGGGAAUAUUGCACAAUGGGCGCAAGCCUGAUGCAGCCAUGCCGCGUGUGUGAAGAAGGCCUUCGGGUUGUAAAGCACUUUCAGCGGGGAGGAAGGCGGUAAGGUUAAUAACCUUGUCGAUUGACGUUACCCGCAGAAGAAGCACCGGCUAACUCCGUGCCAGCAGCCGCGGUAAUACGGAGGGUGCAAGCGUUAAUCGGAAUUACUGGGCGUAAAGCGCACGCAGGCGGUCUGUCAAGUCGGAUGUGAAAUCCCCGGGCUCAACCUGGGAACUGCAUUCGAAACUGGCAGGCUAGAGUCUUGUAGAGGGGGGUAGAAUUCCAGGUGUAGCGGUGAAAUGCGUAGAGAUCUGGAGGAAUACCGGUGGCGAAGGCGGCCCCCUGGACAAAGACUGACGCUCAGGUGCGAAAGCGUGGGGAGCAAACAGGAUUAGAUACCCUGGUAGUCCACGCCGUAAACGAUGUCGAUUUGGAGGUUGUGCCCUUGAGGCGUGGCUUCCGGAGCUAACGCGUUAAAUCGACCGCCUGGGGAGUACGGCCGCAAGGUUAAAACUCAAAUGAAUUGACGGGGGCCCGCACAAGCGGUGGAGCAUGUGGUUUAAUUCGAUGCAACGCGAAGAACCUUACCUGGUCUUGACAUCCACAGAACUUUCCAGAGAUGGAUUGGUGCCUUCGGGAACUGUGAGACAGGUGCUGCAUGGCUGUCGUCAGCUCGUGUUGUGAAAUGUUGGGUUAAGUCCCGCAACGAGCGCAACCCUUAUCCUUUGUUGCCAGCGGUUAGGCCGGGAACUCAAAGGAGACUGCCAGUGAUAAACUGGAGGAAGGUGGGGAUGACGUCAAGUCAUCAUGGCCCUUACGACCAGGGCUACACACGUGCUACAAUGGCAUAUACAAAGAGAAGCGACCUCGCGAGAGCAAGCGGACCUCAUAAAGUAUGUCGUAGUCCGGAUUGGAGUCUGCAACUCGACUCCAUGAAGUCGGAAUCGCUAGUAAUCGUAGAUCAGAAUGCUACGGUGAAUACGUUCCCGGGCCUUGUACACACCGCCCGUCACACCAUGGGAGUGGGUUGCAAAAGAAGUAGGUAGCUUAACCUUCGGGAGGGCGCUUACCACUUUGUGAUUCAUGACUGGGGUGAAGUCGUAACAAGGUAACCGUAGGGGAACCUGCGGUUGGAUCACCUCCUU